rnacentral:rRNA from 1 species
GAUGAACGCUAGCGGCUGGCUUAACACAUGCAAGUCGAGGGGCAGCGCGGAGUAGCAAUACUCUGGCGGCGACCGGCGGAAGGGUGCGUAACACGUGAGCGACUUGCCCGUCACAGGGAGAUAACCGCUGGAAACGGCGACUAAUAUCCCAUACGAUGGCGAUCUGCAUGGAUUGUCAUUGAAAGAUUCAUCGGUGACGGAUAGGCUCGCGGGGCAUUAGCUAGACGGCGGGGCAACGGCCCACCGUGGCGACGAUGCCUAGGGGUUCUGAGAGGAAGACCCCCCACACUGGGACUGAGACACGGCCCAGACUCCUACGGGAGGCAGCAGUGAGGAAUAUUGGUCAAUGGGCGGAAGCCUGAACCAGCCAUGCCGCGUGAAGGACUAAGGCCCUAUGGGUCGUAAACUUCUUUAGACGCAGAGCAAUAAGGGUCUCGUGAGAUCCGAUGAGAGUAUGCGUAGAAUAAGCAUCGGCUAACUCCGUGCCAGCAGCCGCGGUAAUACGGGGGAUGCGAGCGUUAUCCGGAUUUAUUGGGUUUAAAGGGUGCGUAGGCGGAAGUGCAAGUCAGCGGUGAAAUCCCCGCGCUCAACGCGGGAGUUGCCGUUGAUACUGUACAUCUGGAAUGCUCUUGCCGUGNGAGGAAUGAGUAGUGUAGCGGUGAAAUGCAUAGAUAUUACUCAGAACACCGAUUGCGAAGGCAUCUCACGAAGGGGCGAUUGACGCUGAGGCACGAAAGCGUGGGUAUCGAACAGG